GACGAACGCUGGCGGCGUGCUUAACACAUGCCAGUCGAACGGAAAGGCCCUGCUUUUGUGGGGUGCUCGAGUGGCGAACGGGUGAGUAACACGUGAGUAACCUGCCCUUGACUUUGGGAUAACUUCAGGAAACUGGGGCUAAUACCGGAUAGGAGCUCCUGCUGCAUGGCGGGGGUUGGAAAGUUUCGGCGGUUGGGGAUGGACGCGCGGCUUAUCAGCUUGUUGGUGGGGUAGUGGCUUACCAAGGCUUUGACGGGUAGCCGGCCUGAGAGGGUGACCGGCCACAUUGGGACUGAGAUACGGCCCAGACUCCUACGGGAGGCAGCAGUGGGGAAUAUUGCACAAUGGGCGGAAGCCUGAUGCAGCAACGCCGCGUGCGGGAUGACGGCCUUCGGGUUGUAAACCGCUUUCGCCUGUGACGAAGCGUGAGUGACGGUAAUGGGUAAAGAAGCACCGGCUAACUACGUG
rnacentral:rRNA from 1 species